AUGUUCACUGUUAUAUUCAUGUGUCUGUGGCUUUCACUAGGUGACUCCAUGGCAGAUUCAAUACAGCCACUUUCCCCUCGUGUAGUUGUAGAUGAAGGUGUUGAUGUUACUCUGUCCUGCAACUACAAACCCAGCAGUACUGCAACAAACAACUACCUGCACUGGUACAGACAAUAUCCAGAAUCUAAACCUGAGUUCCUUCUUUAUAUUUAUCAAACUGGAGCUCUGAGUCCCAACCCUCCCCCAAGAAUGUCUGCUGAAGUUGAUGAUAAUAAAGAUAAUAAACGAGUGGAUCUGCUCAUCUCCUCUGCUGCUGUAUCAGACUCUGCACUAUACUACUGUGCUCUG